AUUGCACGUCUAAGCAGUAAGGCUGAGUAUUAGGCAAAUCCGGUACUCGUUAAGGCUGAGCUGUGAUGGGGAGAAGACAUUGUGUCUUCGAGUCGUUGAUUUCACACUGCCGAGAAAAGCCUCUAGAUAGAAAAUAGGUGCCCGUACCGCAAACCGACACAGGUAGUCAAGAUGAGAAUUCUAAGGUGAGCGAGCGAACUCUCGUUAAGGAACUCGGCAAAAUGACCCCGUAACUUCGGGAGAAGGGGUGCUCUUUAGGGUUAACGCCCAGAAGAGCCGCAGUGAAUAGGCCCAAGCGACUGUUUAUCAAAAACACAGGUCUCUGCUAAACCGUAAGGUGAUGUAUAGGGGCUGACGCCUGCCCGGUGCUGGAAGGUUAAGAGGAGUGGUUAGCUUCUGCGAAGCUACGAAUCGAAGCCCCAGUAAACGGCGGCCGUAACUAUAACGGUCCUAAGGUAGCGAAAUUCCUUGUCGGGUAAGUUCCGACCCGCACGAAAGGCGUAACGAUUUGGGCACUGUCUCAACGAGAGACUCGGUGAAAUCAUAGUACCUGUGAAGAUGCAGGUUACCCGCGACAGGACGGAAAGACCCCGUGGAGCUUUACUGUAGCCUGAUAUUGAAAUUCGGCACAGCUUGUACAGGAUAGGUAGGAGCCUUUGAAACGUGAGCGCUAGCUUACGUGGAGGCGCUGGUGGGAUACUACCCUAGCUGUGUUGGCUUUCUAACCCGCACCACUUAUCGUGGUGGGAGACAGUGUCAGGCGGGCAGUUUGACUGGGGCGGUCGCCUCCUAAAAGGUAACGGAGGCGCUCAAAGGUUCCCUCAGAAUGGUUGGAAAUCAUUCAUAGAGUGUAAAGGCAUAAGGGAGCUUGACUGCGAGACCUACAAGUCGAGCAGGGUCGAAAGACGGACUUAGUGAUCCGGUGGUUCCGCAUGGAAGGGCCAUCGCUCAACGGAUAAAAGCUACCCCGGGGAUAACAGGCUUAUCUCCCCCAAGAGUUCACAUCGACGGGGAGGUUUGGCACCUCGAUGUCGGCUCAUCGCAUCCUGGGGCUGUAGUCGGUCCCAAGGGUUGGGCUGUUCGCCCAUUAAAGCGGUACGCGAGCUGGGUUCAGAACGUCGUGAGACAGUUCGGUCCCUAUCCGUCGUGGGCGUAGGAAAUUUGAGAGGAGCUGUCCUUAGUACGAGAGGACCGGGAUGGACAUACCUCUGGUGUACCAGUUGUCGUGCCAACGGCAUAGCUGGGUAGCUAUGUGUGGACGGGAUAAGUGCUGAAAGCAUCUAAGCAUGAAGUCCCCCUCAAGAUGAGAUUUCCCAACUUCGGUUAUAAGAUCCCUCAAAGAUGAUGAGGUUAAUAGGUUCGAGGUGGAAGCAUGGUGACAUGUGGAGCUGACGAAUACUAAUCGAUCGAAGACUUAAUCAA
rnacentral:rRNA from 1 species